UACGUAGGGUGCGAGCGUUGUCCGGAAUUAUUGGGCGUAAAGAGCUCGUAGGCGGUUUGUCACGUCUGCUGUGAAAUCCCGAGGCUCAACCUCGGGCCUGCAGUGGGUACGGGCAGACUAGAGUGCGGUAGGGGAGAUUGGAAUUCCUGGUGUAGCGGUGGAAUGCGCAGAUAUCAGGAGGAACACCGAUGGCGAAGGCAGAUCUCUGGGCCGUAACUGACGCUGAGGAGCGAAAGCGUGGGGGAGCGAAACAGG
rnacentral:rRNA from 1 species